CAAUAGCGUAUAUUUAAGUUGUUGCAGUUAAAAAGCUCGUAGUUGGAUUUCGGGUGGGACGCAGCGGUCUCGCAUUGCGUUUGUACUGCUGCAGCCCUCCUUCUUGCCGGGGGCGGCCUCUCGGACUUCACUGUCUGGGGGUCAGAAUCGGCGAUGUUACUUUGAGUAAAUUAGAGUGUUCAAAGCAAGCUUACGCUGUGAAUAUAAUAGCAUGGGAUAACACGACAGGACUCUGGCCUAUCGUGUUGGUCUAUAGGACCAGAGUAAUGAUUAAGAGGGACAGUCGGGGGCAUUCGUAUUCCGUUGUCAGAGGUGAAAUUCUUGGAUUUACGGAAGACGAACAUCUGCGAAAGCAUUUGCCAAGGAUGUUUUCAUUG
rnacentral:rRNA from 1 species